GACGAACGCUGGCGGCGGGCCUAACACAUGCAAGUCGAACGAGUGGCGGACGGGUGAGUAAUGUCUGGGAAACUGCCCGAUGGAGGGGGAUAACUACUGGAAACGGUAGCUAAUACCGCAUACCAUCGGAUGUGCCCAGAUGGGAUUAGCUAGUAGGUGGGGUAACGGCUCACCUAGGCGACGAUCCCUAGCUGGUCUGAGAGGAUGACCGGCAAAACGGGAACUGAGACACGGUCCAGAUUCCUACGGGAGGAAGCAGUGGGGAAUAGUGCACAAUGGGCGCAAGCCUGAUGCAGCCAUGCCGCGUGUAUGAGGAAGGCCUUCGGGUUGUAAAGUACUUGCAGCGAGGAGGCGUUACUCGCAGAAGAAGCACCGGCUAACUCCGUGCCAGCAGCCGCGGUAAUAC
rnacentral:rRNA from 1 species